rnacentral:tRNA from 1 species
GGGGCUGUAGCUCAGUGGUAGAGCAUCUGCUUUGCAUACAGAAGGUCCCAGUUUCAAUCUCCAGCAUCUCAA